AAUAUCAUGCCCCUUAUGACCUGGGCUACACACGUGCUACAAUGGAUGGUACAACGAGUUGCGAGACCGCGAGGUCAAGCUAAUCUCUUAAAGCCAUUCUCAGUUCGGACUGUAGGCUGCAACUCGCCUACACGAAGUCGGAAUCGCUAGUAAUCGCGGAUCAGCACGCCGCGGUGAAUACGUUCCCGGGCCUUGUACACACCGCCCGUCACACCAUGAGAGUUUGUAACACCCGAAGCCGGUGGCGUAACCCUUUUAGGGAGCGAGCCGUCUAAGGUGGGACAAAUGAUUAGGGUGAAGUCGUAACAAGGUAGCCGUAGGAGAACCUGCGGUUGGAUCACACC
rnacentral:rRNA from 2 species